rnacentral:rRNA from 1 species
GAUGAACGCUGGCGGCGUGCCUAAUACAUGCAAGUCGAGCGAACAGACGAGGAGCUUGCUCCUCUGACGUUAGCGGCGGACGGGUGAGUAACACGUGGAUAACCUACCUAUAAGACUGGGAUAACUUCGGGAAACCGGAGCUAAUACCGGAUAAUAUAUUGAACCGCAUGGUUCAAUAGUGAAAGACGGUUUUGCUUUCACUUAUAGAUGAAUCCGCGCCGCAUUAGCUAGUUGGUAAGGUAAAGGCUUACCAAGGCGGCGAUGCGUAGCCGACCUGAGAGGGUGAUCGGCCACACUGGAACUGAGACACGGUCCAGACUCCUACGGGAGGCAGCAGUAGGGAAUCUUCCGCAAUGGGCGAAAGCCUGACGGAGCAACGCCGCGUGAGUGAUGAAGGUCUUCGGAUCGUAAAACUCUGUUAUUAGGGAAGAACAAAUGUGUAAGUAACUAUGCACGUCUUGACGGUACCUAAUCAGAAAGCCACGGCUAACUACGUG